GACGAACGCUGGCGGCGUGCUUCAUACAUGCAAGUCGAACGAGAAGCUGACUUCGGUCAGUGGAAAGUGGCGGACGGGUGAGUAAUAUGUAGGAAAUCUGCCUUUAGGAGGGGGACAACAGAGGGAAACUUCUGCUAAUACCCCAUAUGAGCGUAGCUGAAAUGCUAUUCUUGAAAACUCCGGUGCCUAAAGAUGAGCCUGCAUCUGAUUAGCUAGUUGGUAGUGUAAUGGACUACCAAGGCGACGAUCAGUAGCUGGUUUGAGAGGAUGAUCAGCCACAAUGGGACUGAGCCCCGGCCCAUACUCCUACGGGGGGCAGCAGUAGGGAAUUUGUCGCAAGGGGCGAAAGCCUGCCGCAGCCACGCCGCGUGAACCAUUAAGCCCUUCGGGGUGUAAAGUUCUGUCAGUGGGGACGAAACUUGACGGUCCCCACAGAGGAAGCACCGGCUAACUCCGU
rnacentral:rRNA from 1 species